rnacentral:lncRNA from 1 species
UUAAGUACAUGUUUGGUUAUCCAAAAAUAGUUAAAGUAAAAAAAUUUAUUUUUUUAAAAAUGUUAUUUAGGAAAAUGAUUUUGAGUUCGAUUGUUUGGCUAGCUAUAAAGUGGAGAAAUAGAAGGUUGUAGUUUUGAGUAUUCUAUUCUUCAUUAUAUAUAAAGAAGUGAAACUAUAAACAAACGACUUAUGCUUGUAAUCUGAAUUAAAAAUUUAAAUAUAAAUCUCUAUUUACAAUUCAAAAUUAAAAUUUAAAUUUUAAAUUAAACUUAAAUCUGAGUUGAAUUUAUAUUAAAAAUUUAAAGCAUACAAUUAAAAUUUCAAUUUAAAUUUAAAGUUUAAGUUACAACACAGAACUAAAAUUAAAUUCGAAAAAUCAAAUUUCAACGUAAAAAUUAAAAAAUUCAAAUUUGAAUUCACAAUUUGAAUCAAAAUUUUAAUUUACCAUUUUAUCAUAAUUUUUGAAUUCAAAUAUGAAUUCACAAUUUGAACUAAAAUUUACACUGAAAUUAAAAUUUGAGUUUAAAUCACAAUUCAAAUUGAACAGUUGAAUUCACAAUUUGAAGUCAAAGUUCAAACUGAAAAUCGUUAUCGAACUUAAAUUCAAAAUACAAACUUACCUUUGAAUUUUAAUUUCAAAUUAAAAAUUAAAUUUCGAGUAAAAAUUUCAAUCAAUAAUUCGAAUUUGUAGUUUGGAACAAUUUGAGUUCAAAGUUUAAAUUUAAAUUCCCAGCUAAAAAUAAUUUGACUAAAAUUAAAUUUUAAUUUUAAUUUUAAUUUAAAAUUUGAAAUUAAAAUUUGAAUUUAUAUAAAAAUUUAAAUUUAAAAUUCAUAUUUAAAUAUAAAUUCACAAAUUAUAAUUUAAAAUUUUGGUAUUGAAUUUGAAUUUAUAAAUAAAAUUCAGAAUGUGAAAUUAAAUUUAUAAUUUUAAAUCAAAUUUAUGUUGAAAUUCAUAAGUAAAAUAUAUUCAAAGAUUAAAAUUAAAGACCAUAUAUAACUUUUUAGAUAAGCUCUCCACUUUCCGUGGCUACAAAAUUUUUUGAAUCACAGUCAAAAAAUGAGUUUUAGUUAUAAUCUGAUUUAUUAACUCAGUUUUAUAUAGUGACUAUUAUAUUCACUUUCACAAACCAAAUGAAUAGUGUCAUUUUUAGUGCUUCACUUUCGGCCAAUCAAAUAUAAAUAUUUUUGUGAAUCCUAAAAUGCCACGGAUUAAGAUUUAUAUGUGAGGACUGAGAAUUUGGCUGUUUAGCUAAACUCUCUGUUUAUGAUGUUUUUGCGUGUGUUUUAAUUCCAAAAGCACUCAUCAAGUUUCGGAGAAAAACAAGUUAGAAUGAAAAUUCUACGCGAUCUUUAUUUUUUGCUUAAAGUGAAUACUAACCCGGGUUUUCAAAAAGGCCAAUAAGUAGAGAUAGCUUCUGACGCGUAUCGAACUCCGUUCAUGGUGAUCCAAUAGCUCGUUUUUAAUGGUCCGACUAUCCUGGACCCAAUGGCGCUGACGGAUUUUAGGUUUGACACCGGAUUUUGAGAAACUGGAUAUAUAUAUAUAUAUAUAUAUAGAAUUGAGCUCCUAUGCUUUUAAAAGUACCAAGUCAUUGGUGCUUGUAAGUUUUUAGCCCUUGGAUUAAGGGAUGUGCGGUUAAGAUGAUGUGGGCCCUCUAGGGUUAAGUAGGUGGUUGGUUGAAUAGUAUAAUCUAACGGGUGAAAAUGAUUAAAGGCGUAGAUCUAACGGUAAAAAAUUUACAAGUAUCAAAUACUUGGUACUUUUACAAGCACCAUAGCCNUAUAUAUAUAUAUAGAGUGCGGCUAGUAUGCUUAUGGAAGCACGGAGGCCUCCGUGCUUCCAAGUUGUUUUCGAUGUUUGGACUUUCGAAUCGACGAUCGGCUCCGUUAGACUUGAUCUAGAGUAUUUGAAGUACCUAGAAAAUAAAUUUUGUGAUUUUUCGAUAUCAUUUGCCUAGUGAUCGAAGGGGCUCAAAAUCAAUAAUUUUAACGGCCGUGGUGAGCCGGUUGCAAGUUUAACGGUGUAGAAAUAUACAAAUCACGUGAAAUUUC